AUAUAUAAUGAACUCUCAGGAGAAGUCACUAUUUGGACACUUUUCCAUAUGUUUGAUUUUUCAGAAAUUGGAAAAGCACAGGUUGUUUUACACAUGUUUUCUUUUACCAUUAAUGCAUGCUAAUUAUUGUUUGAUUAUUCUGUUCUGUGGUGCGGUGAAUACUUUUUACGAUCAAAACAAAUUACUUGGGUCCUUUAUUAUUAUUAUUAUUUAAGUUAUAAUUUUGUUUUUUGUCUUUCUUUUUUUAAAGGAAUAUUACUAUGCCUGAAAAUGAGCAAAGUCAAAACUGAAAGAGCUUCUUCAGAGCUUUGGAAGGUUGCGGGUUUAGCUGUUGUUUGUGUUAUAUGUUUCACCUCUAAUGCUUUUGUGGCUUUGUUAACUGACAUUCCUGUAAGUUCCUAUCUAUACGGCAUGUAAUGCCAUUCAUUUUUCAUUCAAACAUCUAACUCGGUCUAAUAGAUCUCUAGCAGUUCAUUUCUCGUAAUGCCAUUCAUUUGCACUUUGGAAUUGGCACAAAUGGGAAUCUUCAAUUUGUUGUGUUUUGAUUAUUUAAAAAUUUUCCAAGAGUUUCUUUUCUUGAUAGGCUUGUUUGAUUUUUCUAUAAAUUUUUUGGUUUACCUUGUUCUUUCUAUUGAUAUUUUUUUUUCUUUAUGCUCUAGGCGGUGUGUUUUGCUUUAAUGGGCAUUGGCAGCUCAUUUCAUGCUCAAGAAACUGCUAUGAGUGGGUAAUUAAAGAGUCGAGUGUGGUAAAUACUGUUCUUUUCCUGUGUACUGUGUUAUGCUUGGGGUCAUUUGGGACAUGUUACUUUCUGAUUCUUUUGAGAUCUGCAUGUAAAAGCCUCAACUUAUCUAUUUGCAUACAUUUGUUGAAAACAUCAGGUUCUGGCCUUCGGGUACUAUGUGACUUCAGGCCAUCAACUACAGAGGUUAACAUAACAAUAAAGCUUUUACUUGUGUUGCUUUUCUCGACAGUGGAGUUUUGUUGUCUCAGUUCACGUUUUGGUGGCAUGAUAGACAUGGAAUCUGUCGAGGACGUGGCUAAUAUUUCUAAUGUGUCUGGGAUUACUACCCAUUCUUUGCAACUGUACAGUCAUUGCUGACCACUAGACCGUCUCCCUGCAACUGUACAGUCAUUGCAACUGUUGUUUAUUUCUUUGUGUUGAAAGUAGUAACUUUUAACUAUGUUGAAUAUUUAAGACUCCUUGAAUACUUAAAGAACAUUUUGUUGUUGAUGACAGUGUUGAAUGUUUUAAACUAAUUUGUGGAUUGUUAAUACAAUGUUGAAUGUUUUUA